rnacentral:rRNA from 1 species
CCCUUAGAUGUUCUGGGCCGCACGCGUGCUACAAUGAUGCAACCAGCGAGUUGUGUGUUCACCCCUUGGUCGAUAGGCCUGGGUAAACUUGAAACUGCAUCAAGUUUGGGAUCGACCAUUGUAAUUUUUGGUCGCCAACGAGGAACUCCUUGUAAGCGCAAGUCAUCAACUUGCAUUGAAUACGUCCCUGCCCUUUGUACACACCGCCCGUCGCUUCUACCGAUGAAUGAUCCGGUGAACCCUUUGGACUUGUGUCUCUGUCGGGGUGACUCGACGAGACAACGAGGAAGUUGUGUAAACCUUAUCAUUUAGAGGAAGAAAAANUCGUANCA